UACGAAGGGGGCUAGCGUUGCUCGGAAUCACUGGGCGUAAAGCGCACGUAGGCGGCUUUCUAAGUCAGGGGUGAAAUCUAGGAGCUCAACUCCUAAACUGCACUGGAUACUGCUCUGCUGGAGGACUGGAGAGGAGACUGGAAUUCACGGUGUAGCAGUGAAAUGCGUAGAUAUCGUGAGGAAGACCAGUGGCGAAGGCGGGUCUCUGGACAGUUCCUGACGCUGAGGUGCGAAAGCGUGGGGAGCAAACAGG
rnacentral:rRNA from 1 species